rnacentral:rRNA from 1 species
GUACAAGUCCGUUGGAACACGGCGUCAUAGAGGGUGAGAAUCCCGUCCUUGACACAGAUCUCCAGUGCUUUGUGAUGCGCUCUCAAAGAGUCGAGUUGUUUGGGAAUGCAGCUCAAAAUGGGUGGUAAAUUCCAUCUAAAGCUAAAUAUUGGCGAGAAACCGAUAGCGAACAAGUACCGUGAGGGAAAGAUGAAAAGCACUUUGGAAAGAGAGUUAAACAGUACGUGAAAUUGUUGAAAGGGAAACGAUUGAAGUCAGUCAUGCUUUCCGAGACUCAGCCGGUUCUGCCGGUGUACUUCUCGGUUUGCAGGCCAGCAUCAGUUUUGGGCGGUGGAAAAGGUUGGCGGGAAUGUGGCAUCCUCGGAUGUGUUAUAGCCCGCUUUCGAAUACAUCGCCCGGGACUGAGGAACGCAGCACGCCUCUUGUAGUCGGUCUUCGGACACGUCCGUGCUUAGAUGCU